rnacentral:misc_RNA from 1 species
GAAACGCGAUACGUAAUGUUAAUUGCAGAAUUCAGUGAAUCAGCGAAUCUUUGAACGCACGUAGCGCCUUCCAGUUUCCUGGGAGGCAUGCCUGUCCGAGCGUCGUUUCAACCCUCGAGCCCCCGUGGCCCGGCGUUGGGGAUCUGCCCAGGCAGGCUCCGAAACCCAGUGGCGGACCCGUUACAGGCCCUUCCUUUGCGUAGUAACACUGCCUCGCAUCGGGAGCCGGCGGGCUUCCAGCCUCUAAACCCCCAGCAAGUCCGCCCCGGCGGCACCAAGGUUGACCUCGGAUCAGGUAGGAAUACCCGCUGAACUUAA